UGAUAAAAAAAAAAAUUUAAAAUAAUUACAGGUAUUUAUAUAUAUAUAUAUCAUAAAACACAUUUCACCAUUUUCUAACCCUAGAGAGAGAGGAAAUGGGUAUGUGUUAUAUGCACAUAUGAGUGAGGGACAAAAUGGAAAUAAAAGGUAAAAUAUGAUUUUUCAUAUUUGGUUUUUGUCAAAAAGUAGUUAGAGGGGCUUAUUUGUAUUUUUUUUUUUUUUUUUUUGAAUUUUAUAAACUAACAUGUACAUUUUUAAAAGGUAAAAAAUACUUCUGCACGUACCUUAUAUAUCAAGUUUAUUUUAUUUAUUUAUUUAUUUAUUUUUCGUACUUAAACCUAAUUUUAAUUGAAUUGAAGUGAUAAAGGUUGAUCUAAUAAUUUCUUAAUCCAUCUAGGAAUUCUGUGGACGACCAGUCUAAUGGUUCGUAUCCUCAGAAGAGGAGAGAGAGAUUUGACCCUCUUCUAAAUUUUCCACUCAGUUUUUACACAAAUUGUUUAAAACUAAAAUACUAAUUUCUCCUCCGUGAGACUCUUUGGUCUGCCUUAAGCCGAUUCGCUUGAAAUUGAAUAGUACCACUCAUCUCCCAAAAUCAACGUUGUGCGCAAUUCUCAUCUUCCCGCCCUUUUCUUUUCCCGCCGUUCAACUUGUUACUCAUUUCUCUCUCUCUAGAAUUGUGCCAAGAUUUUGUUCCAUCAGAUCUAAGCCAUGAAAGGAAAACUAGGUUCAACCCAGAAAGGCAAAAUAGAAGCUGAGAAGUCCCACGAUGAACAAUUUCAGAUACUGGGUUGUUCCAUCACAGAUCUUCCCAGUCCCAUUUUGGUCAGUAUUCUGAUAAGACUCCCUGUAAAGAGUAUUCUCAUGUGCAAAUGCGUAUGCAAAACUUGGGUCACUCUAAUUUCUGACCCUCAUUUCGCCAAGCUUCACUUUGCUCUGGCAGAGCCCAGUGCUCUGCUUCGAACCGAAUUUGAUUCAAUGUUUGUGUCGAGAAUGCUUUACUUGGUUGAGCCUAAGAAUUGCAAUAAUUUUGGUCAGUUUGACCGUAGUGUUAACAUGAAGCUUGAAACCAAAUUGAAGAUUCCAUUGCGCAAUGUUGACAGGUUGCGUGGAGUUACAACUCAUAAUGCCCAAAUGCAACGCAGUCAGGUUAAAAGAAGGAAUGACGGCCCCAAGUUAACCCUAGUGAUCAUGUAUUCAAAAUUGUCAAUUCGUGCGAUGGUUUGCUUUGCUUGUCGGAACCAAUAUGCAAUAAACCUGUUGUUGUGUGUAAUCCAAUCACAGGUGAGUAUAUAAACAUUCCAAUGGUUUAUGGGGGAGAUGAGAAUGCCAGAAAUAUUUAUGGUUGUGGGUUGGGUUUUAGUCCAAGUGCUAAUCAGUACAAAGUGGUUAGAAUAUUGAAUUGCUGGAUUCUUGAGCCUGUUAUAGGCGUGGAAGUAUAUGGCGGUUGGAAGGCUGAAAUACACACACUAGGCACAGGAUCAUGGAAAAACAUUGGUGAUGGUCCCAAUUCGAUUUUUGAGAUAACAUUUCCCACCUAUCUGAAGGGAGGUCUUCAUUGGUUAGAUGGCGGAAGUCAUGAUCAUAUAGUUUCUUUUAACUUUGAUGACGAGUGCUUCCAAUGAGUUCCCCUGCCUCAUCGUGAAAAUGUUUACACUUACUACUAUGCACCUCAUAAUCUGUCUAUGGGAGUAUUAGAAGACUGUCUAUGCAUAAGUGAUAUCUCCAAUUCUGAUUCUAUUAACAUAUGGGUUAUGAAGAAAUAUGGUGCUCCAGAGUCUUGGACAAAACUGUUACUCUUGAUACCCUACCUGAUGGGAGGUCGCCUAGAUGUCUAGAUCAGCCCCCAAGUUACCAAAAAGAUGGGGCUGUAUUGAUCUUUGAUUAUUCUAGAAGUGGUCUGAUUUAUUAUGACCCUAAAGGACCAAAAUUCAGAUAUUUUAAGAUUAAGGGGGUUAAUUCAAAAUUUGAAGCAAUUGCUUAUAUUCCAAGCUUUAUUUCACUUAAAGACGCCAUUGUUGGAGAUGAUGCUAAGGUGCUGAAUAUCAAUUCAAGGUGUGCAAAAUUCAAAAUGCCAGGAGAGACUCGAACUCUUUCAUUGGUGGAAGAAUACAAGGACAAGCCGCUUGAUUCGAAUUGUUCAUCUUAAGAUACUGCAGUCAAAAUCUAUUAAUCAAAGCUAUAUCUGAAGGUUGAGGAGUUGAGCAAGUAUACCUUUACUGAUCCUACUCUGUUUGUGGUUUAUUGUCCAUAUUCUAUCUACGCAUGAAGCCUUGAACUGAUCCUGCGUACAAAUUGACACGGUCCCUUGGCACCAAUCUAUUAAUGUGAACAAGGAUUUUAUUAUUAUUAUUUUUUUGGAUAAGGAACUUGUUUUUACAGAUUUAAGUAGUUUGAUUUGAUUAUUGAAUCAGUUUGCAAUUAAUCUAGCAACUUUGAUGUUUCUUCUA